rnacentral:rRNA from 1 species
GUGAGGAAUAUUGCGCAAUGGAGGCAACUCUGACGCAGCCAUGCCGCGUGCAGGAAGAAGGCGCUACGCGUUGUAAACUGCUUUUAACCGGGAAGAAACCCCAGGACGUGUCCUGGGUUGACGGUACCGGAGGAAUAAGCACCGGCUAACUUCGUGCCAGCAGCCGCGGUAAUACGAAGGGUGCAAGCGUUAUCCGGAUUCAUUGGGCUUAAAGGGUGCGUAGGCGGAGCGUUAAGUCAGUGGUGAAAUCCUGCAGCUUAACUGUAGACUUGCCAUUGAUACUGGCGCUCUUGAGUGCGCUUGAAGUGGGCGGAAUGUGCCGUGUAGCGGUGAAAUGCUUAGAUAUGGCACAGAACACCAAUUGCGAAGGCAGCUCACUAAGGCGAUACUGACGCUGAGGCACGAAAGCGUGGGGAUCGAACAGGAUUAGAAACCCGUGUAGUCC